GAUGAACGCUAGCGGCAGGCUUAAUACAUGCAAGUCGAGGGGGAUUAUUUUUGUAGCAAUACAGAGAUAUGAGACCGGCAAACGGGUGCGGAGCACGUACGCAACCUUCCCAAAACUGGUGAAUAGCCCUCCGAAAGGAGGAUUAAUACACCGUAACAUAAUGAAGUGGCAUCACUUUAUUAUUAUAGCUCCGGCGGUUUUGGAUGGGCGUGCGCCUGAUUAGGUAGUUGGCGGGGUAACGGCCCACCAAGCCUGCGAUCAGUAACUGGUGUGAGAGCACGACCAGUCACACGGGCACUGAGACACGGGCCCGACUCCUACGGGAGGCAGCAGUAAGGAAUAUUGGUCAAUGGACGAAAGUCUGAACCAGCCAUGCCGCGUGAAGGAUGAAGGCCCUCUGGGUUGUAAACUUCUUUUAUCUGGGACGAAAAAAGGCGAUUCUUCGUCACUUGACGGUACCAGAGGAAUAAGCACCGGCUAACUCCGUGCCAGCAGCCGCGGUAAAAC
rnacentral:rRNA from 1 species